CACGGGGGGAGCAAGCGUUGUUCGGAAUCACUGGGCGUAAAGGGCGUGUAGGCGGUCAGGUAAGUGGGACGUGAAAUCCCUCGGCUCACCCGAGGACCUGCGUCCCAAACUGCUUGACUUGAGUAUGGGAGAGGAUGAGGGAAUUCCUGGUGUAGCGGUGAAAUGCGUAGAUAUCAGGAGGAACACCGGUGGCGAAGGCGGCGUUCUGGACUGUUACUGACACUGAGGAACGAAAGCCAGGGGAGCAAACGGG
rnacentral:rRNA from 1 species